UACGGAGGAUGCAAGCGUUAUCCGGAAUGAUUGGGCGUAAAGGGUCCGCAGGUGGCAGUGUAAGUCUGCUGUCAAAGAAUGAGGCUUAACCUCAUCAAGGCAGUGGAAACUACAUAGCUAGAGUACGGUCGGGGUAGAAGGAAUUCCUGGUGUAGCGGUGAAAUGCGCAGAUAUCAGGAGGAACACCGAUGGCGAAGGCAGGUCUCUGGGCCACUACUGACGCUGAGAGGCGAAAGCAUGGGGAGCGAACAGG
rnacentral:rRNA from 1 species